AUGUAUGUCAAUUCUUCCCAGCAACUAAUUUUAAGAAGGGUAUGCCUAAGAGGAGGAGGAAGUACCGACAACGUCUACCAGAGAUGUGAAUGAACCGCAGAGCCGAGGCCCUGAACCUGAUUUCUUGACUCAGCAGCAUUACAUCAGGUGUCUAAUGCCACCUAGUGGCAGAAUUGGAAUAAUUUCAGAGCUGAACAGUGAUGAUGAUAUAACGCAGUACCAUUUAGCAAACGUUUUUAUCCAAAGCGACUUAGAGUCAUGCGUGCAAACAUUUGACAUACGGUGAUCCUGGGAAUUGAACCCACUAUCCUGGCAUUGCAAGUACCAUGCUCUACCAACUGAGCCACGGGACCUGAUUAGGGUAUGAUAAUAGGUGAAGGUAAGGGGAAAAUGUGUUAAUAUGGUGAAGGCCAGCCUGAUUCGUUGUUACGUCUGUAUUCCAACAGGUUUCCAACUGCACUGAUGUCAGCUCAUGUACGUUUCCACACUACAUUCGAAAAUCACCUGCUGUUCACCACCUGUCUGACACUGAUAGGCCGAGUCCCAAGUGGCACCCUAUUCCCUAUAUAGUGCCACAUGAGGAAUAAUAGGGUGUCAUUUGGGACGCUCCCCCCGGUGGAGACUUACCUGCAGACGUGUCUUCAGCUUGUCCUGCAAACACUCACCAUGGUCCUAAGGAAUGCUGUGAAUCAUCGCCCAGUUACUCUCCCAAGAAGAGGUUGCUUUAGUUCCGACUCGGAUGAUGACGAGGUGGAGGAUUAUCACCAGUGUCACCAGGGUGGAUCCUCACAGGCACAUUCAGAGAGGUCCUGUAGUGCAGAGAUCCCUGUCCUCAGCCAAGGCCUCAUCACAUUGGAACACACAACAACGGGGUCACCCUCCGUCUCAACCCAGACCUUACACCCCACCCACUAGGCCUCAAUGCACAGGGAACUGUGGAAACGGCCAGAGCGGUCAUAAAGACCAGAGAGCGUUGGAGAGCUCCGACUGCACAGAGAGAGACGGUCAGGCUGUGUAGUUACAGAUGACAGUAAUAGCCAGGCUAGGGUUAUAGGUGAUCGGUACGUCCCACCUCGUCCUCUGUCUGAAUCACAGAGCUCUGUGGUCCACCAACAAAAAUGGCAGCCACCAGAACACAAGCAACACAAGAAACACGAGGAAUGGGGACACAGACUGUCACCAACAUCAUCUCGAAAUGUCCAACAUCGGAUGUUUCAACUCAGUGCAGUUUCUGGACUUGAGUGUAAAGAGAACAACCUCGUGGACUCUGAAUCCCACAACUAUUCUGCUUAAAAUGUCAUACCGACCCCAACCACCAGAGGGCAGGCCAGUCACAGAGAUGAGUCUAUGAGACAACAGACAGACAGACAGACAGACAGAUCCAGGAGGGAGGGAGAAGAGCACACACCCUGGAAAAAAUCAACAGCCAGAGAGCUCAAGGCUGGACCUGGGCACCACCCAUCAAUCAUCCCUUUAAACAAGUGUCGUAACACUAACACUGAGAAUAGAGUGCAUUCAGAGACCCACUACCUCUGUACUAGACGCUCCCCUCAUCACCAAUGAUGUAAAAGACUUGAGAGGUAAGCAGCUGCAGCAUAAAGGACAGGAAGAAGAAUAAGAGGUACAGGACCCUGUUCAGAAUGUUCCUCUUAGAGGAGACCUUCCAGAUGAGAGAGAGAGAGAGAGAGAGAGAGAGAGGAGAAAAGGAGGUCACUGCUGAGAGCAUAGUUAACAGGCUUUCAGAGGAGGUUGAGACACUUCAGGAAAGAGCAGGCGUUCUGCUCAUGCUGAAGCAGAGGAAAAAGAUUAGUGAAAAGGGAAGGAGAGGAGAGAGGUGGGGAGGACAGGAGAGGAGGGGAGGUCAAAUCCCGACGUAUCCCUUUAAGAGUUGUGAACAACACUAGCAACUACAGUACAUCCCUUUACCACAGGAUCUGUUUCUGCAUAUUUAAACAUUUAUAACAAUGCCCUUGGGAUUCUACAUUAAAACGAAAGCCAGACAUUGCAAGAUAAUCCGUUUAUUUAUUUUCCCCCCGGAUACAUAUUCAAGUGUUGAAGAUUCUCAUGAAUAUAUUUACUUUGAUAGAAUAGAAACACUGCACUUAAUUUGUUUUCACGUAGAAAGAAAUUGCACCCGUUCACCAUAAACACAUUGGUUGACCCCAUUUAGGAGGUAAAGCAAAGAAGGCAAUAUAAUAAUCACACGAUGGGUUGUCAAGGGGUUGUGACCGUCUUAAAAUCAAAAGUGCAUUCUAGAACCACAACACAUCAAAUAACCUGUUUGACACUAUCUCAUUUACAUGUUUGUUACAUGACGACCGUGUUGUCGCCUCUGUGACGAGGAUGUGCAAUAAACUGUUGUUUCUCUAUAAAGAAAAACACUAACUAUCUGUGAUAAUAAAAGCGAAACGUUAUUCUGUCUUCCAGUGAACCUCCAGUUUAGUCCUAUUUAUAGUAUCCUCUCUUUUCUAAUCACAUUUCUAAUCAAAUACUCAAAUAUGGAUAAUAAAUACUCAAUAAUCCAAUAUUGAUACUGUUGUUCCAAUGAACUGGCAAAACACACCUAGUGAUAACUUGAAAUGCUGUCAUUUAAUUUCAGUCUAAAGAAAAUCCUAUUUGAAUUCACAAUAGUAGCCAUCUAUCUGGUUUUGUCACUGACAAUAAUACACAGACAUAUUCUCAGAGACGUUAUGUUGACCACUUUCAACGAGAGUCUGCUACACACAAAUCUUGUACUCAAGUACUCAACUAAAAAUGUGUCACCUUACACAGUUUAACGAUAUAUAAAAUGACAUGAGCAAGUACAGUACAGUACUUCCUCGACCCUUUAGAACACGAGAACCCCAGCUCUUUCACGUGAAGAGUAAUGCAUUGCGAUUUGUACAUAAGGCUGUGGAGGAAGACACAACGUAAAAUGGAGACGAAAUAGGACAUUCUUUCUGACAUUGUUUUCCCAAAGGGCAACUAUGUGUGUAACAUUAACUGACUAAACUGUCCAUUUCAAUGUAUGGGUAUUCUCUCUGAUGGUCUGAGUAACCCAAUGAAUAGUCUCGUCAACAUUCAUCAAUAAAAACAUUUGUGCAACUUCUGAAAUAAAAUUUUUAAAGGCUA